UAGGGAAUCUUCCACAAUGGACGCAAGUCUGAUGGAGCAACGCCGCGUGAGUGAAGAAGGUUUUCGGAUCGUAAAGCUCUGUUGUUGGUGAAGAAGGAUAGAGGCAGUAACUGGUCUUUAUUUGACGGUAAUCAACCAGAAAGUCACGGCUAACUACGUGCCAGCAGCCGCGGUAAUACGUAGGUGGCAAGCGUUGUCCGGAUUUAUUGGGCGUAAAGCGAGCGCAGGCGGAAUGAUAAGUCUGAUGUGAAAGCCCACGGCUCAAACGUGGAACUGCAUCGGAAACUGUCAUUCUUGAGUGCAGAAGAGGAGAGUGGAAUUCCAUGUGUAGCGGUGGAAUGCGUAGAUAUAUGGAAGAACACCAGUGGCGAAGGCGGCUCUCUGGUCUGCAACUGACGCUGAGGCUCGAAAGCAUGGGUAGCGAACAGG
rnacentral:rRNA from 1 species